rnacentral:lncRNA from 1 species
AAAACAUCGAUGGGUUAUAGAUGAAAAGAAUAAAAUAUUUUUUCAUCUGUCUAGGUGGUUCUUCAAGAUUUUCAGCCAUUUGAUUAUCAAGUUUAACAUGGAUCAACUGUUCAAUUUCAGAAUUGGGUUCAACUAGGUCAGAAAAAAUAUCUUCUAUCGUGUAUGUACCAAUGCAAACCCUAAUAUGUAUGUUUCAAUUUUUUUUUAAAUUUUUUUAAGGAAGUGGGAGAGAGGAAGAAGAAGAGAAGAGGAAGAAAGAGAGAAGUUCUAAAAAAGAGAACCCUAAAAGAGUCCAAGACCUAGAGAUGAU